AUCAAAGGAGAAGUCGCCUCCUUCACUGCGUCAGGAAACAUUUCUUUCCAACAAUCUCGUCAGGACAUGCUUGAAUUUUGAAGCAAUGCAGACUCUCCGAUUCGGUUCUGUGCAUUCUUUACACUGCUUAUUCAUAUUAGUAUCAGCUAUUAUUACACAGGCACCUAGGAUUGCCUCAGUUGCUGUACCGAGUUCCAGCUGCUAUGUUCUUGAUAAUUCUAGUCGCCUUGUAGACUUUAGCAGCUGGAUUGGGCACGAAUUUGAUUAUGAAGGAAAGGGAAAUACUGACUUAGCUGUUCGAUUUUGCAAAGACGUUGAGAAAAGAUCACAAACGGGAUAUGUGGAUUUUGGCCGAUUUGAAUAAGUUCAACUACUUUGCUUCUGGUUCAGGACAUGUUGAUUUUGUUCAACGGUUUUACAAUGGUGACCUGGCCAAUUGUGAGCAUAGUUAUGACAAACUGGGACGAAC
rnacentral:misc_RNA from 1 species